rnacentral:rRNA from 1 species
CGCGUAGGCGGGAUGGCAAGUCAGUCGUGAAAUCUCUCGGCUCAACCGAGAAACGUCGGCUGAUACUGCCGUUCUUGAGGGAUGCAGAGGAGACUGGAAUUCCCGGUGUAGCGGUGAAAUGUGUAGAGAUCGGGAGGAACACCGGUGGCGAAGGCGGGUCUCUGGGCAUUUCCUGACGCUGAGGCGCGAAAGCGUGGGGAGCAAACG